rnacentral:rRNA from 1 species
UACGUAGGGUGCGAGCGUUAAUCGGAAUUACUGGGCGUAAAGGGAGUGCAGGCGGAUGUAUAAGUUAGAUGUGAAAUACCUGAGCUCAACUUAGGAAUGGCAUUUAAGACUGUAUAUCUAGAGUUUGUCAGAGGGGGGUAGAAUUCCAAGUGUAGCAGUGAAAUGCGUAGAGAUUUGGAGGAAUACCGGUGGCGAAGGCGGCCCCCUGGGAUAGAACUGACGCUCAUACUCGAAAGCGUGGGUAGCAAACAGGAUUAGAUACCCUGGUAGUCCACGCCCUAAACGAUGUCUACUUGCUGUUGGGGGUAAAACCUUAGUAGCGAAGCUAACGCGAGAAGUAGACCGCCUGGGGAGUACGGUCGCAAGAUUAAA